AUUGAACGCUGGCGGCAGGCCUAACACAUGCAAGUCGAACGAGUGGCGGACGGGUGAGUAAUGUCUGGGACACUGCCCGAUGGAGGGGGAUAACUACUGGAAACGGUAGCUAAUACCGCAUACCAUCGGAUGUGCCCAGAUGGGAUUAGCUAGUAGGUGGGGUAACGGCUCACCUAGGCGACGAUCCCUAGCUGGUCUGAGAGGAUGACCCGCCAAACUGGAACUGAGACACGGUCCAGACUCCUACGGGAGGCAGCAGUGGGGAAUAUUGCACAAUGGGCGCAAGCCUGAUGCAGCCAUGCCGCGGGUAUGAAGAAGGCCCUAGGGUUGUAAAGUACUUUCAGUCGGGAGGCGUUACCGACAGAAGAAGCACCGGCUAACUCCGUGCCAGCAGCCGCGGUAAUAC
rnacentral:rRNA from 1 species